rnacentral:rRNA from 1 species
GACGAACCGUGCGAACGUUAUCCGGAUUCACUGGGUUUAAAGGGUGCGUAGGAGGGCAGGUAAGUCAGUGGUGAAAUCCCCGAGCUUAACUUGGGAACUGCCGUUGAUACUAUCUGUCUUGAAUAUUGUGGAGGUGAGCGGAAUAUGUCAUGUAGCGGUGAAAUGCUUAGAUAUGACAUAGAACACCAAUUGCGAAGGCAGCUCGCUACACAUAUAUUGACUCUGAGGCACGAAAGCGUGGGGAUCAAACAGG